rnacentral:misc_RNA from 1 species
GGUUAUAGAUUCAGGAGCAAACAACAUAUGACAGGCUCUUCAAAUAAAAUUUUGACUUACUUUUCAUGUUCAGGAAAAGAAAAAGUCUUAUAGCGGACAGAUCUUUAACCACUAUUUCUGAUACAGGUUCUGUUGCAUGCACUCUUACACUCAACCUUACUUCAGUUUUUCAUGUUUUUAGUUUUCCUAUAAACUUGUUGUCUGUCAGUGCUCUUACUCAAGCCC